UGUGGCCACUGUGACAAAGUGCUAUCUAAAACAACCUUUUAUCAACACAAAAAGUUAUACUAUGACUCAACCAAGUCGGUAUGGAGCAAGGAGCGGAUUAGAUUGUAUGGAGAUGCUCAUGACUUCAACCUUGAAGAAGGUAACUUUGAAGAAACGGAUAUGGAUAUUGAUCGCGACUCAUCAGCGACACCAGAUACCUCCCCAGAUACCUUCGAAGAGGAAGAGGAGGAAAUUGAAUCGAAUGAUGAACAGUGACGAUUUUGAGAUGGAAUCUGGCCAUUUUACAGAAAUAGGUAUGGUUGACGAUUCUGAAGACGACCCAAUGUCGUAUAAUGGAACUCAGUUGACAGUAAUUCCUCAUUACAACUUGCUGAGACUCUAUGUGAUGUUUCUAUUGCUGUGGCAA